UCAGGUGGUCCGGACCCGGAGCCCGAGGCAGACGGCAGACAGUGAGGCCCCGACCCGAAUCACCGAAGUGGAGAUUCCCACAAAGCCCUCCCUCCUCCGGUUCUCCACCGCCGCCCGCGGCGCCGCCACCGCGUCCGCGGCUCGCUGGCUCCGGAGUCCGCACCUCCGCGCCACGCCGGACGCCGCCACCCGGCUACUCCCUCGGCAAGAGACGACGGCGCACGGCCACGGCGCACCCGCUCGCGUCGAGCCUUCAGCCCCCCUCGGCCUCCCCUCUCCACGCGACCCUCCGGCUCACGCCGCAAUGGCCGCCGCCGGCGGCGACCCGCUGACCCCGCCCUCUGGCAUAUAUUACAGCAGGCACAAGAAAUCCGCUGAGCGCAACAGCUUAUUUACACCUGGAGUUGCAACCUAUUCCAGUGGUCAUGCACUUCCUAAGGUCCCCAGUUUGGUAUUUGGCAGUGCUAGCAAGGAAUGGGAAAACAUUCGUCAGCGCAAGGUCCAAUUGAUCAACUUCCUUUCUAGUCUGGAAAGUCCCUCUCAAAAUUCUGCCAUAGCUGGGAAAAUGGCAGGUAGCAAAUUGAAGAAUCAUUCUAUGGAGCCAACAGAACAAAAAGGAAAGCCUGACAUCAUAAUUCUUGAUUCAGAUGAUGAGGACGAAAACAAUUCAGGAUACAAUAAGUUGGCGCCUAAGACAAACAACGAACUGACAACAUCUGAAUUGGCUAGUAAUGUCAUGAAAUGGGUGGCAUCCAAUGGGAUGAGCCAAGCAUCUGAAACCAUGCAUGCUGAAGGAGACAAAAAUACACAGAUUGUUCCAUAUGGUCAAAGUGCAGCUUUAGUGAAUCAAUUUCCUUUGCAAAACAGCUGGCAACCAUCUAUUCAAUUUGAGAGAGUUGUGUUGCAGAAAAGGCCUGAGGAGCAGCGUAUGCAAGAUCUCGUGGCUGCUAACAUAGCGGAGAGGAGAGCAGAAACACAAGUGUUCCUUUCACUUCCUACUGAGAAAAAGCGAAGGAGGUCAGACCCCAGCUUGCAUGUCAGGGAAGAUGCUACCACUGUCCCUAGACAAAGAAAAAGAAAAUCUGACACAGAUCCAGUAGGUGCUGAUUUAUCAUCGGGUUUACGAGAAACUGACAUUUCAUCAGAACCUGACCUGCCUAUAGAGGAAGAGGAGAAACCAAAAAAUGAAAGUGAUGGUCUUGAGGAAUAUUGGAAAGAUUUUGCGUUGGCUGUUGAAAGCACAAAGCUUGACGCAGUUGAUGAGGCAGCAAAUGAGAAAGAAGAGGAUAGUGGAAAGAUGGAGGACGUCGACUGCAUUCAUGACAUUCGGAUUCAUGAAGAUUUGGGCCAUGUAUGCCGUAUCUGUGGUAUGAUUGUGAGAAGAGCUGAAUCAAUAAUUGAUUAUCAGUGGAAAAAGGCUUCAAGGAGAAAAACAGAUUGCUAUGGAGGACAUUCAAAGGAUGUUGAUGACAAAGACUAUGGUAUUGUUAAACUGUCCGAAGAUUUUAUAGUUUCAGAUAUUGCUAUUCAUCCUAGACAUGCUAGGCAAAUGAGACCGCAUCAGUUGGAAGGAUUCAACUUUUUGGUUAAGAAUUUGAUUGGAGACAAGCCUGGAGGUUGCAUUCUUGCUCAUGCCCCAGGUUCAGGGAAAACGUUUAUGCUUAUAAGUUUCAUUCAGAGCUUCCUAGCAAGGUAUCCAUCUGCAAGGCCCCUUGUUGUGCUGCCCAAAGGGAUAUUAGGCACAUGGAAGAAAGAAAUUCAACAGUGGCAAGUGCAGGAUAUACCAUUGUAUGAUUUCUACUCUGUUAAGGCUGAAAAAAGAGUAGACCAGUUGGAAGUCAUCAAAUCAUGGGAAGACAAGAUGAGUAUACUGUUUCUUGGAUACAAGCAGUUCUCCACAAUCAUCUCUGAUGAUGGGGGCAGCAAAGCAGCAGCUGCAUGUAGGGAGAGGCUGCUUAAGGUCCCCAACCUUUUGAUAAUGGAUGAGGGUCAUACACCUAGAAAUCGGGAGACUGAUGUACUAGAAUCUCUGAAUAGAGUGGAAACACCACGCAAAGUGGUCCUUUCAGGUACACUUUUCCAGAAUCACGUUAAUGAAGUGUUUAACAUCUUGAAUCUUGUUCGCCCAAAGUUUCUCAAGAUGGAAUCAUCCCGUCCUAUUGUUAGACGGAUAAUGAGUCAAGUAGUAAUGUCAGGUAGAAGUUCAAAAGGGAUUGCUGACAAUGCAUUUACUGAGUCAGUUGAAGAAACCUUGUUGCAUGAUGAAAACUUCAAGAGAAAAGCUCAUAUCAUUAGAGGUCUUAGAGAACUUACAAAGGAUGUGCUUCACUACUAUAAGGGUGAUAUCUUAGAUGAACUACCUGGCUUAGUAGACUUCAGCGUGUUCUUGAAACUCACUCCCAUGCAGAAAGAGAUCACUCAAAAGAAGAUGGGAGCAUAUGACAAGUUCAAAAGAAGUGCAGUAGAUAGUUCAUUGUAUGUUCAUCCUUGUCUUUCGGAAAUUUCAGAAGUUAAUGCUGAGGAUAGGGCUAACACAUUGACAGAUAAGUCAAUUGAUAUUAUGAUUGAUUCCAUCAAUGUGAGAGAUGGGGUGAAGGCCAGGUUUUUCAUGAAUAUCCUGUCACUUGCUAAUUCUGCAGGAGAGAAAUUACUUGCUUUUAGCCAAUAUAUACUUCCAAUGAAAUUUUUGGAAAGGCUGCUUAUUAAGGUUAAGGGCUGGCAUGUGGGGAAAGAGAUUUUCAUGAUCUCUGGUGAUACUAGUCAGGAAGACAGAGAAUUGAGAGUAGAUCAAUUUAACAACUCUGCUGAUGCAAAAGUGCUGUUCGGUUCCAUCAGGGCAUGUGGCGAGGGCAUCUCCCUUGUCGGCGCAUCGAGAGUCGUCAUUUUAGAUGUUCACCUGAACCCAUCUGUCACCCGUCAAGCGAUCGGGCGUGCAUUCAGGCCCGGACAGCAUAAGAAAGUGUUUGUAUACAGGCUUGUAGCUGCUGAUUCUGCUGAGGAGAAGCACCAUGAGACUGCAUUCAAGAAAGAAGUCAUACCGAAGCUUUGGUUCGAAUGGAGUGAACACUGUACAACAGAAGACUUUAAGCUCAGUCAAGUUGACAUUGAUGACUCUGGGGAUGAAUUAUUGGAUACUAAAGCAGUGCGCCAGGAUAUCAAGGCACUGUAUAGAAGGUAACAAGCUCUGUGGCCACUGGACACCAUGUAAAUAUUGGAAUGCUGAUCUUCGGAGCUGUUCCUUGAUCUGAACAGGGUGUUACAGUGGCUCCAUUGUGGUGACAGACCUGAGUUUGCUCUAAGCUAGGACUUCAUGUUAUCAAGUCAUUUUCAAACUGUGUUUAUGGAAUGGCUCCUUUGUAGUAUGUGCCAACUUGCGACAGCAAUCAGGAUGAUCCUGUUGACUCUUUUCUUGACUGUUAGGUCAAGUUUGUGAGGAUUAUCAGACACCGCUUUCUCCCCCUAAAUUUCUCGUGGGCAACAAUAAACAACUAAAUAAACCCUUUCGUGAAUCUGUUUCUGUUCGCUUAGUUUG